rnacentral:rRNA from 1 species
UACGUAGGCAGCGAGCGUUGUUCGGAAUUACUGGGCGUAAAGAGUGUGUAGGCGGUUCGGUAAGUCGGGUGUGAAACCUCCAGGCUCAACCUGGAGACGCCACCUGAUACUGCUGUGACUCGAGUCCGGUAGGGGAGCGUGGAAUUCCUGGUGUAGCGGUGAAAUGCGCAGAUAUCAGGAGGAACACCAGCGGCGAAGGCGGCGCUCUGGGCCGGAACUGACGCUGAGGAGCGAAAGCGUGGGUAGCAAACAGG